rnacentral:tRNA from 2 species
GGAGAGGUGGCCGAGUGGUCGAAGGCGCUCCCCUGCUAAGGGAGUAUACCAGCGAUGGUAUCGAGGGUUCGAAUCCCUUCCUCUCCGCCA